rnacentral:sRNA from 1 species
CCGUCUCCAUCCCCUCCCUUGCUGGCCAGCCAGUUGAUAAACAUUGAAUUUGGAAGAUGCCUUGGGAUGGAGAAGGACCAGUGCCCAGGCCUGCAGCCCACCCUCCCGCUGGGAGGCCCCUGAGAGCACUGGGGUGCUGCUGCCCUGUUUCUGGGGACGCUUGGCUUCCCUACCAGCCACCGUCUCCUGCCCUCCAUCAGCUGGGCUCUAGCCUCGGGGCCUCUCGGGGUGGUGUCCCCGGUGACGUGCCUGCCUGCCUGCCUGCCGUCAGAGAGCUGGCAGGGCUGAGGGAAGGAAGCCUGCCUCCCUGGCAGGCAAGCAGGCGGCGGGCGCGGAAGCACCAGCUUUCAUGUCUCUGGCAGAGCCCCACUCCGGCUGCCUGCUGCCUGGGGGGUGUCCAGGGGCCGGCCCCCGGCUUCUGAGAGGGACAGCGUGCGUGGGUGUGGGGGCUCCGGUAGCCCGUCAGCCCUCUGUGGCCCUGGCCCAGGAGAGUGCAGGUUUUCUGGGAGGGCUGGGAGGAGGCGGCCAGGAGUGAGGACAGGGAAUUGUGAGCAGUGUGGGGGCACCACUGUGGGGAACAAAGCCCCCCGCCCCUGCCUGAAACCUGCGUCCUGGCCCUGGGCAUCAGGGCUGGCCCUGCCCUGGUGUCCUCACACAGUCACUUCUGUGUGCCUUCCGCGUCCUCAGGUCAUGAGGAAGGUCACCCUGGGCUAGGCCCACCUUUGAUGUCACGGUCACCUCACUUAUCUCUUCAAAGGCUCUGCUGUUUGGGCUUCCUUCCAUUGGCUUUGCGGGGGGCAAGCCUGGCUCCUAACACCCUCCGUUUGUUGGAGCUCUCAGGCUGCCUCUGGGGACCGUCUGCCAGGACACAGGCCACCCUUGCUGCCUGGUUCCCCACUCCCCAAGCCACUCACCUGGCAGGGCGUGACUGGCACUUCUGGCCUGAGUGCCUGCUGGGCGCCCGCCCCUAGCCAGUUCUGUCGUCCUUCCUUUCCACCCAGGACAGCCCUGUCCUGCACUGCCAUGUCGCCCACUGCCGGGGCCUCUCUGGGACCAACAGGCCCCCUUCCUUCCACCCACCAGGCCCUACCCCACCUGGACCCUCUGAAAUGUUCCUCGUUGACAAAUGGUCUUGCAGAAGGCAGGAUGGCUCCUGCAGCCCCCACUCCCGCUCUGUGGGUGGAUGCCCCAUCUCUCCCUGCCCAGGCACUGUGGUGCCUUCUCCCUCCCGGGCACCGUGGUGCCACCUCCCUCCCAGACACCAUGAUGCUGCCUCCCUCCCGGGCUCUGUGGUGCCAUCUCCCUGCCCAGGCACGGUGGUGCCGCCUCCCUCCCAGGCGCCGUGGUGCCGCCUCCCUCCCGGGCGUCUUGAGCUGCAAGGGCUCUUGGCUUCGUUCCCCGGAGGGUGGUGCUGUUCUCGUUGGAGGGGGCGGCCAGGCGCUGGGCCACGUGUGCAUGCAGCCCCUACAGAGUUGCUGCCCCGUGGGGGUUGACGUGGGCCUCCUUUUGGAAGCUCUUCCUGGCAACACUGAGUGGGGCAAGGGGUUGGCAGCAGAGAGGCGGCUGGAUUUGGGGCCCCAGUGUCCUGGGCGGCAGCUAGGGAGGGGCCGGCUCCAGGCCCUCAGGCUGUGUCAGGGCAGGGCGGGCACCCCCACUUCUCCCUGUCAGCCGAGGGAGCCAGGCAGGGGCAGCCUGAGACAUCCUGGGACAGUGCUGGUGGGGAGAGGCCCCUCAGCCUGUGCCUCCCUCAAAGGCCCUUCCCAGGCCCUGCUCUGGCUGGGGAGACGGUGUGACCCACCUUCCCUUUCCAGCCCCAGCUUGGUGACCGGGGGGACGGUGUGACCCACCUUCCCUUUCCAGCCCCAGCUUGGUGACCGGGUAGCUCCAUUCACCCUGGGUCCCUCGCUGAAAUGGUGCCUGGGACCAGAGCAGAGAACACCCUUGCCAGUGGUAGGAGAUGGAGGCGACGUGGACUCUGGGAGGCUUCUUUUUUGGGGUCCAUCCAGAGGCCGAGCCUCUCCAAGCACUGGUCAGCCUUCAUGCCACCCAGUCUGCCGACCCUCCUCUCCACCAUCCCCUCGUCCGAGCAGUGGCGAUCCCUCCCGUGUCAAGGCUGGGCACAAGCACGUGGGGACAGGCCGGGUAGGCUGCCUGGCUCAGUGCUCCCUGCACAGAGGCGCAGACAGAGAGCCCAGGUGCCCCAGGCCCGGCUGCCAAGCCUACUUCCCUCUCCUGGUGUUCCCGAGUCCUGCCCGCCCCUUUCUGCGCGUCCCGUGGGGCAGUGCUGGUUGAGGGUCCUGGCCUGUGGGGGCUAUGAUGAGAACCAGGUGCCUCUCUGCAUCGGUGGCCUCUGAGGGAGCCCUCUCGCCCGGCAGCAGGUGGGAUGCAGAUGGGGCUGGCCAGGCCUCCUGUGCCCACAGCAGCCUCUGGGCAGUGUCCCCUGGGCUUCUGUGAGCAGCCGCAGCCUGGGUGUGAAUCUUGGAGGCCCGCUGGUGGCGGAGCAUGCUCUCCAUCUGGGAGAGGCUGAGACCACGGCGGCUCCUGGCGCUGUCCUCCCCGUGCCCCCUUCCUGGCUCCCCAGCUUCCGGCGCCUCUCCAGGGCCACUCGGGCAGCCCCUGCCCACCCCACAGGCCCUUCUCUGCUCACAAGGCUUUGAUCCCAGGCGGCACAAUUGGGUUUUCAAAGCAUUCACGGCCCUUGUUUGUGUCCCUGGGCCCCCGGCUGGAGGCUGAGGUUUCGGCGUUCCUGGGCCUGGCCUUUGAAGCUUCCUCUUAUUAAUCUUUUAACAUCCCCCAGCCCCACCCCCACCCCCAGCCUGUGGCCCUGAGCAGCCUGGAGCCGGGAGGGGGAAUCUGGAGCUGGGAGGGAGAUACCCCAGCCUGGCAGCUGCACCCCUCCACGGUGGUUCCGGCGCAUCCGCCAGGACCCGCCACGCCUGGCCCCUCCUUCCUUGGGUGCAGAGGCCAGAGGAGGGAGGACUGUGAUGCUGCAUGGCUUGAGGACCCUCGAGGCCCCAGCCUUCAGCUGGCUUGGGGCUUGGGGUGGUCCCAUGGAGGGCGCUGGUCCCAGGACGCCCUGGCCUUGCUUACAGGGGUAGGGCUGGUGUCAGGCAGGAAGCUGGGCGAUGGGCUCAUGGGGGCCGGGCAGGCAGAGCCUGCCUGAGGGUGGAGCUGGGGCCUGGCCCUGGGGGUGUGGCUGCCUUCACAGCAGGGGGGUGCUCUGCCCACACCCGGCCCCUGAGCCCCCCGCCCUCCCUGCAGGCGAACCUCUUCCCGGCCGCUCUGGUGCACUUCGGAGCCGAGGAGCCGGCAGGUGAGUGUCAGUGGUUGGGGCCAGUGUCGGAGUCCAGCCAGCCUGUCCCUGGACCUCAGAGCCAGCUGCCCGGGAGGGCGUUCGGUCUGGGGCCUCCUUUGGGUCUGAGAGGGAGAUCUGCGGCCCCCAGUAACCACCUCCCCGAGAGAGGACUGGGACAGCCACCUGCUGGCCACCCCCUCCCAGAGCUGAGUGCUGGUGGGCAGAUGCUGGGUGGAUGGUGAGUGGGUCCCUCCUCAGAGGCUCAGGGUGAGCUUGGGCCUCCCUGCAGGUGUCUACCUGGAGCCUGGCCUGCUGGAGCAUGCCAUCUCCCCAUCUGCGGCCGACGUGCUGGUGGCCAGGUAAGUGCCGGUGGGUCUGGGGGCACCUCCCGUGGCGGCACUCACCACUCUGUGUCUUCGCCUCCCCACAGGUACAUGUCCAGGGCCGCCGGGUCCCCUUCCCCAUUGCCAGCCCCUGACCCUGCACCUAAGUCUGAGCCAGCUGCUGAGGAGGGGGCGCUGGUCCCCCCUGAGCCCAUCCCAGGGACGGCCCAGCCCGUGAAGAGGAGCCUGGGCAAGGUGCCCAAGUGGCUGAAGCUGCCGGCCAGCAAGAGGUGAGAGCUGCCAGCCUGAGGUGCCCACUCCGCCAGCCACAGGACCACCUCCUCUGCCAGCAGGAAUAAAGACUUGUGCAUCCCUC